UAGCUGUGAUCAGGGUGCUUGGGGUGGUGGUUGUGGUCAGGGCGAAGGUUGAGGGGAGGGAUCUAGACAGCCUGGCCAUAUUGUUUUUGGAAAGAGCGCUAUACAAUGUUAAUUUCUUCACUGAUGAGUCAAUGGAUGAAUGAAAGGAUGUCUUCUUUAAACUGCUGCACGUUGGUGGGAUAUGAUGCUAGAAGGGACCUCAGGGAUGAUUCCAGGCCAGAAUGUUGACGGCUCCCAACCAAAGAGAAAAAUUCAGAUUAUAG
rnacentral:lncRNA from 10 species